CACCCACCCCUCUCCGCCUCCAGGAAGCCACACAGCUUCCGGGCUAAUUUGAUCAAGAUGCGUUAAAAGCAAAACCAUCUGGUUUCCUUCCACAGCUGAUUCCAGAAUCACUAUUGUAAAAGACCUGUCUUCCAGGGCUUCUUCAUUCUGUUUUCACUACAACGUGACUUCUGUUCAUGUCUCUGCAGAAGGCCCAUGAGGGCCUUUCAUAUUGGUAGGAGCUUCCGUCCUGAAUUUCCUCACCUCUCAGCUCUACUCCUGGAGCUGAAAACCAGACUCUGGGACCUCCCUGAUCCGCAAUCUCAGCUGGGGACAGUCUGCUAGGCCUACCUUGGAUCAGGGACCCACCUGCGGCCGGCUGACCAUGACUGUGGAGCAGGGCUCAGGGUACCCCGGGCUGUCUGGCUGUGCAGACCAGAGUGUCAGUCUUUGGACUCUGAAUCCUGGACUCUGAAAAACGUUUUCUAUAGAGUCCCGGAAAAUGGUGAAGUGGCCACAGAGCAUGGACUUGCACCCCUGAUGACAGCUCGGAAAAAGCUCUUUUCUUCAUUCACUGAGCCGCUUGAAUCCACUGGGAUAUUAAAAUUUCCAACUGAAAAUAUUGCUAAGGGCGUCUUCUUGGGGUCCUGGUGAGCAGGGGACAGGUCAG